rnacentral:tRNA from 1 species
GAGGAUUUAGCUCAAUGGUAGAGCACUUGCCUAGCAAGCGCAAGGCCCUGGGUUCAGUCCUCA